ensembl:lncRNA novel transcript
CGUAGAGUCUGCAUGAGCUAGAGCCACCACAUACAGAAAAUUCAGGAUCUACGUGAAAAUUCCACUUAUAAACAUGAGAAGAUCUGUAACAGCAUAUGACAAAACCCUAAUUAAUGAGGAGAGAAAGGAAGGAAUUACAUAUAGACAAAUUUUGAUCCCAACACUUCAGGCUGUCUUGCUCAUUGAAUCAUUACACUUACACAACUAUUUCCAUUUCAAAGAUGAAGGAACUAAGGCUCAGAAAAGUUAACCUGGAUCAAUAAGCGCUUGGGUAGAAAACCCACAUUCAAAUCCUGACAGCCUUACUGGCUACAAGCCAUGUGAUCUUAGAUAAGUUCUUUUUUUCUGAGUUUGUUUCCCCACCUGUAAAAUGUAAAGGUUAUAGUAUCUGGAAUUUAUGCAACAUAGCAUAACAAGUGUCACAGCCAAGCAAUAAACUCGGGUCUGUAAAACUCCAUUCCCUUUCUACAACACAAGACACUGGAGACCAAAACAAUUCAAAGGAAAAAGUGAUGAGGUGCACUGAGAAAUUCAGGGAAUACUCCAAAGCUGCAGAGGAUAUAAAGAAUAGGAUUUCCCAGAAGAAGAGACAUUUUUAUCCCAGUAAUCCACAAUAAAAUGGGGUGUAGAGAGAUGUAUCCAGAGCUGCACAGCUAGUGGACGUCUGAGCAGGAGCCACAUGCAGAAGAGUCUGACUCCAGGGCCUCAGCGUGUAAUGCCCUACACCUGCUGCAUGGGUUUACAUUUCCAGCUGCUUUAAAGUUAAGACUAUGGAUGUCUGAACAGCUCUUUUUCCUUAGAGCAUAAAACUAAACUAACCUAA